AGUCAUUUCUGUGGGAGUGUGUGAAAUAACAUGCAAAUAUGUCAGUUCAUAUUUAGACUACUACUAAAAUUCAUUUUGUAUGCCCUUGUGAUCAUUUGCACUAGUCAUUGGUUAUUUCUUCCACCUAUCUGAGCAGCAUUUGUCACUUCACUGGCUGAUCUGUUUCCUGUGUAGGAUCAGGUUUACCAUGGUAGCAAAGGACACCACAGAUGUGUGAGCUGAGAGAACCCUUAUUUGCCUGGAUGACUUAGUGAGGAAGACCUCAGGGCUCUCUACAGUAGAAGCAGAGAUAAGCACUGAGCAAGAGCCAAGGUCUGGGCAGGACUGAAUUGGGACCUGAGGAAUCUGCCAAGCUGGAAGCUGAUACCUGCUAAAUCACUGGACUGACAGAUAGAGCUGUUACAACACUACACCUGCAGAAAGGCCACUCCUUGGGAAUCAGUCCAACAGAGGGAGAGUAAGCUACAAGAACACAGAAGGAAAAAGACCCGAAGAAUGAAAAGAACUGGGCAAGUGUGGUACUCUGGAGCCAGGACAGGAAAACUACCUUGCAAGUACAUGUGGGUGAGACGCAGCUGGGAACUGCAAGACCAACUAACGUGCUCAACCACCCUACUUCAGCCUCUGUUUUAAUGAAAACGAGGUUGAUUUUGUAACUCAGAAAAGUCAGAGGGAAACCUCUCACCAGAUGAUGCACAGACAGAGCAAAGGCAAACUUUGAAGAUUCCUUUGUGCAUGAAUGCCAUCAUUACAAGAAGUACCUGCAUGAAUAGUCAAUACCAACAGCUAUUGAGUCUGAAUACACAGAAAUAUCUUCACAUUCCAUCCAAAGCACUGGGCUGAAUAAUCUUCAUUUAUACUUGUCUCGCAUACAUUAUGAGGAGGGAUUGUAUCUUCUCUGUUUUGGAUACUGUCUUGGCACUAGCCUUGUUUAAUGUUUUAACAAAUGACAUCACAAGAAUUACAAGAGCGAUGACACAAUUAGAAAACAAAGUUAAGAGGAUACAAUAUGGAAGCAACUGGCUGAUCGUGAGAAUGGGAGUAACAGAAACACAGCAGAAGUCAGUAACGGCAAGUGGAAAAUAACACAGCAGCAACAACAAAGCAGGUCUGCAGCAUGGUGGAAGCCUGUCAGCUGCAAGUAGCUUGGGAAGAGGACUUGGAUAUAUCAGGCAGCUCCAGGAUGAGAGUGUGAAAAGGUGCCAGUGCAAAACAGGAAAACGCAAGUGACAUCAGGAGAGGUUUCCAUUAGGCAGAAGGCUGUACAGUGACAAGACCUCCUCUGGCACUUUGUGGGUCCCUGUUCAACAAAGAUC